GAUGAACGCUAGCGGCAGGCUUAACACAUGCAAGUCGAGGGGUAUAGGUUUUCGGACCUAGAGACCGGCGCACGGGUGCGUAACGCGUAUGCAAUCUACCUUUCACAGAGGGAUAGCCCAGAGAAAUUUGGAUUAAUACCUCAUAGUAUUAUGAAGUGGCAUCAUUUUAUAAUUAAAGUUCCAACGGUGAAAGAUGAGCAUGCGGCCCAUUAGCUAGAUGGUAAGGUAACGGCUUACCAUGGCGACGAUGGGUAGGGGUCCUGAGAGGGAGAUCCCACACACUGGUACUGAGACAGGGACCAUACUCCUACGGGAGGCAGCAGUGAGGAAUAUUGGUCAAUGGACGCAAGUCUGAACCAGCCAUGCCGCGUGCAGGAUGACGGUCCUAUGGAUUGUAAACUGCUUUUGUACGAGAAGAAACACUCCUUCGUGAAGGAGCUUGACGGUAUCGUAAGAAUAAGGAUCGGCUAACUCCGUGCCAGCAGCCGCCGUAACAC
rnacentral:rRNA from 1 species